rnacentral:rRNA from 1 species
UGACGCAGCGACGCGCGUGUAGGAAGAAGGCCUUCGGGUCGUAAACUACUGUCAAGAGGGAAGAAACUGUUAGGCAUUAAUACGGCCUUUCACUGACGGUACCUCUAGAGGAAGCACCGGCUAACUCCGUGCCAGCAGCCGCGGUAAUACGGAGGGUGCGAGCGUUAAUCGGAAUCACUGGGCGUAAAGCGUGCGUAGGCGGCGCAACAAGUCAGGCGUGAAAGCCCUCGGCUCAACCGAGGAAUUGCGCUUGAAACUGUUGUGCUAGAGUCUCGGAGAGGUUGGCGGAAUUCCAGGUGUAGGAGUGAAAUCCGUAGAUAUCUGGAGGAACACCGGUGGCGAAGGCGGCCAACUGGACGAGUACUGACGCUGAGGUACGAAAGCGUGGGGAGCAAACAGGAUUAGAUACCCUGGUAGUCCACGCUGUAAACGAUGGAUAUUAGGUGUCGGGUUUUCAAUUCGGUGCCGCAGUUAACGCGUUAAAUAUCCCGCCUGGGGAG